rnacentral:rRNA from 1 species
GGGUUGUGAGGUUAAGCGACUAAGCGUACACGGUGGAUGCCCUGGCAGUCAGAGGCGAUGAAGGACGUGCUAAUCUGCGAUAAGCGCCGGUAAGGUGAUAUGAACCGUUAUAACCGGCGAUUUCCGAAUGGGGAAACCCAGUGUGACUCGUCACACUAUCAUUAACUGAAUCCAUAGGUUAAUGAGGCGAACCGGGGGAACUGAAACAUCUAAGUACCCCGAGGAAAAGAAAUCAACCGAGAUUCCCCCAGUAGCGGCGAGCGAACGGGGAGGAGCCCAGAGCCUGAAUCAGCAUGUGUGUUAGUGGAAGCGUCUGGAAAGGCGCGCGAUACAGGGUGACAGCCCCGUACACAAAAGCGCAUAUGCUGUGAGCUCGAUGAGUAGGGCGGGACACGUGGUAUCCUGUCUGAAUAUGGGGGGACCAUCCUCCAAGGCUAAAUACUCCUGACUGACCGAUAGUGAACCAGUACCGUGAGGGAAAGGCGAAAAGAACCCCGGCGAGGGGAGUGAAAAAGAACCUGAAACCGUGUACGUACAAGCAGUGGGAGCCUCUUUU